GAUGGACGCUGACAGAAUGCUUAACACAUGCAAGUCAACUUGAAUUUGGGUUUUUUAACUUAGAUUUGGGUGGCGGACGGGUGAGUAACGCGUAAAGAACUUGCCUCACAGCUAGGGACAACAUUUGGAAACGAAUGCUAAUACCUGAUAUUAUGAUUAUAAGGCAUCUUAGAAUUAUGAAAGCUAUAUGCGCUGUGAGAGAGCUUUGCGUCCCAUUAGCUAGUUGGAGAGGUAACGGCUCACCAAGGCGAUGAUGGGUAGCCGGCCUGAGAGGGUGAACGGCCACAAGGGGACUGAGACACGGCCCUUACUCCUACGGGAGGCAGCAGUGGGGAAUAUUGGACAAUGGACCAAGAGUCUGAUCCAGCAAUUCUGUGUGCACGAUGACGUUUUUCGGAAUGUAAAGUGCUUUCAGUUGGGAAGAAAAAAAUGACGGUACCAACAGAAGAAGUGACGGCUAAAUACGUG
rnacentral:rRNA from 1 species